rnacentral:lncRNA from 1 species
GAGUGGUCAUGGUGACAGAAAUUUUUAGAAUUAUCACAUCUGAAGAAUAGAACUAGAAGAAUAUUCCAGCUUAUGAUGGCAGAGGCUGUCAUCAUUUCUGUAUCUCAGACUGUCUUGGACUCAAACAUAUAGUCACUGGAGUCAACACAAAGGGAAGAAGAGAAGAGAUGCUCACGCAGGGAGAUCCUAUGAACUCCUCCAAGAGAAGCUGUGGAUAAAUCUUGUCACCUCUCUGGAAAUCAGUGGUUUAUCAUCUAAGGAGGAAGAACGCAUGUUGAGCUCAAACUAAGAGAUGGGAAGUCCACCUGGGGGGGAAGGACAAUGACUGGACACAGUGCUUCGGGGUAGGUGUUUGCUGCCAUGUGGAUGACCAGAAAGAGAACCAUAGACUGGGUUCACACAGACACACAGAUCAAAGAUGGUGGGUAAUAAACAUCAUUUAUUCACACAAAAUCUUUGUUCCCUGGGUCCUCUUUGCCUGCCUCCCAACACCCUCCCCCCCUCUCCUGGCCCUGCAGUUGAACAGGAAUAUCCUGUUCAUCCAUGAAAAAAAAAAGCCAUUACUGACCAUCCCUAACUCUGCAGCACAUUGUUCUGCACAUGGAGGGCCGAACUACUGGAGGCACACCUAUUCAUGCAUUUGGUUAAACCAUCGUUUCUUCCAUAAAUAUGUAGAAAGGACGUAAUUCAUGCCAGGGCCAUAAGGUCGACCAAGAUGGAGCUGUCUUUACUCUUGAAGGUAUCCUUGCUCUUAUGGAGAUUGCAUUCUAGUGGGGAGCUGGUUAAAACAAGAAAACAGAAAAACUAGGUAAUCAUAAACUGGUAAAUGCCAAGAAGGAAUCAAAUGAGGAUCGAAGAAAGACAGCAAGAGAAUGUGGGACCAACUGUAGACAGGGUGGUAGGAGAGGCUUCUGUGAGGAGUCACCAAUUAAGAUGAGCUUUCCUGCAUGAAAAGGAGCCGUGUUUCCAGUACAAUAUAGGGUACAACAUGUGCAGAGCUUCAAAUUGGGAAAGAGACUGAUAAGUUUCAGGAACUGGAAAAUCCAGGGUUCCAGAGCAUAGGAAAUGAGCGGAAAGUGGUAUAAGAUGAUAUGGGAAGGUGAUAUAUGUUUGUAUGCUCGUGGGCUCAGUCCAGAAGAGAAAGAAAACAUCACAAUGCAGGAAAGAGAGAGGAUGUCUUGAGGAAGAUUAUCUGUGGUGACUUUCUGGUCUCCCUGCCUCUGAUUCUUGUCUCCUCUCUUGGAAGUUGCUUCGGAUGCUCCUUAAGUUUUUGGUGAGAAAAGCUUAGGAGAGCAUAAACUAAAAAGAAGCUUUCUGACUUGGAAGUCAAUGAUGCUAGAGUGGUUCCCCAAAGACUUUGUGUUAAAGUUGGCCAUCAGACAAGUACAUGCUGGGUAAGCUUCUCAGACUUUUUUUCUUCAUUUUGCCUAUGAGCAAGCUCAGGUUUUGACGUAGAAAAAUUCAGUGGAUCUCCUGGCACAUAAUAGAUGCAUAAUCAAUAUUUAUAGGUGAAUAGUGAAUAAAUAAACCUGUGAAUGAAUUAACA